GAGAUCCCUGCUUAUCUGAGGUCUUCUGAAGUUGGUUCAGGGUGCAUGGCACACAGUGUGCUUGGCUGAGAAUUUCCAGGCAGGGCGAGGAUCCUUAUUAGGAAAAUCCAUUCCCUUCAGGGAGAGCUGCCUCCAGACCCUGGGAGCCCUGGAACAACUGCAGCUGUGCCUUGCAGUAAUCUGGGAAGCGAGAGAAAGAUUAGACUGAUUGGGAAAUAAACUUAAAUGAUACAAUGUUUGUAAUGGACAGCUUUUCUGCUGUCUCUGCAUAUAUUGAAAAUCUGUGUUAUUUGAUGUUGCUUCUCCUUUUCCCACCAAAUGUUUUGUGGCUUGCUCUGAAGCUCUAGCAGACUCCUGCUGUGGUACCUGACUUUUAAUCUGAAGGUCAAAAGGCUGGGCUCAUUCAACAGCAAACUCUAUGGUCACCAAAGUGUCGCUGAAGCCAUGUCCCAAGAUACAUCCUGGUAAGGUUUUCCAGAAGUGAAAAGAUGACAGUUCUGACAAAAGCCAAUGAAGUGGGAAUUAUCAAAGCAACAUCAAAGGGGAGUGCAUUCACUGAAGAAAAUAGAAGUUUCCUUCUGGGACUGGGGGGAAGGACAGAAAUGAAAUGAAGCUUUCUCGUAGAUAUUAUAGAGAAACUCUUUGCAGGCUUGGCUGAAAGAUGUUUUCCUAACAGUAUAAUUAGUCUACGAUAAUUUUUGAGUCUGCAUUACUUUUGAGAGAUUGUUUUUCUGGGCAAUCAGACCUUUGGAACCUGCGUUAACAGAACAGAAGAAGUUCUCCUAUAAUAGUCCUCUGGAUGCAGAAACAUGAUGUCACCUAGAAAAAGCAACACAGAAAUCAUAAACUGAAUGUGAAUUUGCUGAAGAGGAUCGUUAUGUGCUCCUUAGCUCAGAAUUGUGUGAUGCCUCCUUACAGGGGAGACUCUGAAGAGGCAUUCAAAAUGGAGUACUUGAUAUGCUUCGUGUAAAAACCAGUGUCUUAGUGGAAACUGUGCAUGGUGUUUUAAUAUUCAUGGUUUUGCUGGGGAGAAGGAAAAAAAAGAAAAAUCCAGGUUGCUGUUUCUAAAUGAGUUCUAGCAGUGACCCAUACAGUCCACCCUCUUCUUUUACACAUGCACACAAGGGAUCUCUCACAAUAAAGAGUGCUAAGUUUGCAUGCUUAAAUCUAAAAUCCUGCUUAAAUAGAGUUUAACUAAGACCUUAACUCUCUUGACAUUAGACCUAAUAAUUAUUAAGCAAAGCAAGUACUGUCUUUUA